UACAUUUUUGUUUUGUGGUUUGGCUGCCCUUUUGCCUGUGCCUUUUUCGUUGAUGUUAACUGUUUGUUACCUGUUGGUCGUACCUGGACCUGACCUGCGGAAACUAAACCGAUUUUUGCAUACUGAAGGAUCUGUGCCGCUACGCGAGCGCACUCAUCAUCUCUCUCUCUCUCUCUCUGGAUUACACACCACAUACACACUCUCUCUCCCUUGCAGGCAGGCGAGAAGAGAGUGAGAGAGGGCUGGCUGCACUGCCUGCUGGGUGACAGUGCGCCGUGAAAAGCAAAGUGAAACCGACUACAGGAUGUGCAAUUUUCCCAACAAACGCAGGGGCUAACGAAAUUCCUGAGAAUUCCAUCACCCUGGCACAAUAUAAAUUUUUAUUUUUCAAGUGUCUGAAAUAUCACAACAAAAAAUAUACAUAAAAAAAA